UACGAGGGGGCAAGCGUUGUUCGGAAUUAUUGGGCGUAAAGGGCGCGUAGGCGGUUUGACAAGUCUGAUGUGAAAUCUCUGGGCUCAACCCAGAGUCUGCAUUAGAAACUGUCGGGCUUGAGUAUGGGAGAGGUGAGUGGAAUUCCGGUGUAGCGGUGAAAUGCGUAGAUAUCGGAAGGAACACCUGUGGCGAAAGCGGCUCACUGGACCAUAACUGACGCUGAGGCGCGAAAGCUAGGGGAGCAAACAGGG
rnacentral:rRNA from 1 species